CCUACGGGGGGCUGCAGUGGGGAAUAUUGGACAAUGGGGGGAACCCUGAUCCAGCCAUGCCGCGUGUGUGAAGAAGGCCCUCGGGUUGUAAAGCACUUUCAGUGAGGAAGAACGCCUGGUGGUUAAUACCCAUCAGGAAAGACAUCACUCACAGAAGAAGCACCGGCUAACUCCGUGCCAGCAGCCGCGGUAAUACGGAGGGUGCGAGCGUUAAUCGGAAUUACUGGGCGUAAAGCGCGCGUAGGUGGCUUGAUAAGCCGGUUGUGAAAGCCCCGGGCUCAACCUGGGAACGGCAUCCGGAACUGUCAAGCUAGAGUGCAGGAGAGGAAGGUAGAAUUCCCGGUGUAGCGGUGAAAUGCGUAGAGAUCGGGAGGAAUACCAGUGGCGAAGGCGGCCUUCUGGACUGACACUGACACUGAGGUGCGAAAGCGUGGGUAGCAAACAGGAUUAGAUACCCCGUGUAGUC
rnacentral:rRNA from 1 species